UACGAAGGGGGCAAGCGUUGUUCGGAAUUACUGGGCGUAAAGGGCGCGUAGGCGGCCUUCUAAGUCGGACGUGAAAUCCCUCGGCUUAACCAAGGAACUGCGUCCGAUACUGAAAGGCUUGAAUCCGGGAGAGGGAUGUGGAAUUCCAGGUGUAGCGGUGAAAUGCGUAGAUAUCUGGAGGAACACCGGUGGCGAAGGCGGCAUCCUGGACCGGCAUUGACGCUGAGGCGCGAAAAGCUAGGGGAGCAAACGGG
rnacentral:rRNA from 1 species